rnacentral:rRNA from 1 species
UACGUAGGGACCAAGCGUUGUUCGGAUUUACUGGGCGUAAAGGGCGCGUAGGCGGCGUGUUAAGUCACUUGUGAAAUCUCUAAGCUUAACUUAGAACGGUCAAGUGAUACUGAUGUGCUAGAGUGCAGAAGGGGCAACCGGAAUUCUUGGUGUAGCGGUGAAAUGCGUAGAUAUCAAGAGGAACACCUGAGGUGAAGACGGGUUGCUGGGCUGACACUGACGCUGAGGCGCGAAAGCGUGGGGGAGCGAACAGG